UACGGAGGGUGCGAGCGUUAAUCGGAAUUACUGGGCGUAAAGCGCACGUAGGCUGUUUUGUAAGUCAGGGGUGAAAUGCUUUGGCUCAACCAGAGAAUUGCCUUUGAAACUGUGAGACUAGAGUCCGGGAGAGGGUAGUGGAAUUCCAGGUGUAGGGGUGAAAUCCGUAGAUAUCUGGAGGAACAUCAGUGGUGAAGGCGACUACCUGGCCCGGAACUGACGCUGUGGUGCGAAAGCGUGGGGAGCAAACAGG
rnacentral:rRNA from 1 species